rnacentral:tRNA from 1 species
UAUUGAAUAAUUUAAAAAAAAAUGAUUUUGUAAAUCAGAAAUGAUAAUUUUCUUCAAUAU